rnacentral:rRNA from 1 species
GAUGAACGCUGGCGGCGUGCCUAAUACAUGCAAGUCGAGCGGAUAGAGGAGGAUCUUUCCUCGCUUACGUUAGCGGCGGAUGGGUAAGGAACACGUGUAUGACCUGCCUAUAAGACUGGGAUAACUUCGGGAAACCGGAGCUAGUACACGACAACAUGGUGAACCGCAGGGUUCAACAGAGAUAGACGGUCUUGCUGUCACUUAUAGGUGGAUGCUGGCUGCAUUAGCUAGUUGGUAAGGUAACGGCUUACCAAGGCAACGAUGCGUAGCCGACCUGAGAGGGUGAUCGGCCACACUGGAACUGAGACACGGUCCAGACUCCUACGGGAGGCAGCAGUAGGGAAUCUUCCGCAAUGGGCGAAAGCCUGACGGAGCAACGCCGCGUGUGUGAAGAAGGUCUUCGGAUCGUAAAACUCUGUUAUUAGGGAAGAACAAAUGUGUAAGUAACUCUGCACGUCUUGACGGUACCUACACAGAAAGCCACGGCUAACUACGUG